rnacentral:rRNA from 1 species
UACGUAGGGCGCAAGCGUUGUCCGGAUUUAUUGGGCGUAAAGAGCUCGUAGGCGGUCUGUCGCGUCGGCUGUGAAAACCCGAGGCUCAACCUCGGGCCUGCAGUCGAUACGGGCAGACUAGAGUGUGGCAGGGGAGACUGGAAUUCCUGGUGUAGCGGUGAAAUGCGCAGAUAUCAGGAGGAACACCAAUGGCGAAGGCAGCUCGCUGGGACGGUACUGACGCUGAGACGCGAAAGCGUGGGGAGCAAACAGG